CAUAUACCUCUUCGUGUAGAAAGUCUUUGAAUGUUUUACCAUCAUCGAGUCGCGACUUCUAGGAGACGACCUCAAAUCGAUUCCCCUAGUAACUGCGAGUGAACCGGGAAAAGCUCAAAUUUUGAAUCUGGCGGUCUUCAGGCCGUCCGAGUUGUAAUCUAGAGAAGCGUCUUCCGCGCUGGACCGUGUAUAAGUUUCCUGGAAUGGAACGUCGUAGAGGGUGAGAAUCCCGUCUUUGACACGGACUGCCAGGGCUAUGUGAUGCGCUCUCGACGAGUCGAGUUGUUUGGGAAUGCAGCUCAAAUAGGGUGGUAAAUUCCAUCUAAAGCUAAAUACAGGCGAGAGACCGAUAGCGAACAAGUACCGUGAGGGAAAGAUGAAAAGAACUUUGGAAAGAGAGUUAAACAGUACGUGAAAUUGCUGAAAGGGAAACGCUUGAUGUCAGUCGCGUCGGCCGGGGAUCAGCCUUGCUCUUUUGCUCGGUGUAUUUCCUGGCAGACGGGUCAGCAUCGGUUUUGACCGUCGGAAAAUGGCUGGAGGAAUGUGGCACUCCUCGGAGUGUGUUAUAGACUCUGGUCGAAUACGGCGAUCGGGACUGAGGAACUCAGCACGGCCUUAGGGUUCGGGGCUUCGGCUCACGUUAACGUGCUUAGGAUGCUGGCAUAAUGGCCUUAAGCGACCCGUCUUGAAACACGGACCAAGGAGUCUAACUCGCAUGCGAGUGUUUGGGCGAUUAAAACCCGAGCGCGUAAUGAAAGUGAAAGUCGAGACCUCUGUCGUGGAGGGCACCGACGCCCGGACCCGAGCUUCUGCGAAGGAUCUGCGGUAGAGCAUGCGUGUUGGGACCCGAAAGAUGGUGAACUAUGCCUGAAUAGGGUGAAGCCAGAGGAAACUCUGGUGGAGGCUCGUAGCGAUUCUGACGUGCAAAUCGAUCGUCGAAUUUGGGUAUAGGGGGCGAAAGACUAAAUCGAACCAUCUAGUAGCUG
rnacentral:rRNA from 1 species